UUUUAAUAUAUAAAACCCUAUUUAAGCCAGGAGCAAUGACACAUACCUUUAAUCCCAGCAUUGGAAGGCAGAGGCAGAUAGAUCUCUGUGGGUUCCUCACAAGUCUAGUCUACAUAGUGAGUUCCAGGGCUGUGUAGAGAGACCCUGCUUACAAAAGAAAUUUAAGUAAAUAAAUAAAUACAUUUAAUCACUUAAUUAGUAAAAGAAAGGAAGAAAGCAGGUUUUUCUAGGUUGAGUGUGGAGUGUGAUGGGACUUGAGCUGCCUACUUUCACUGCCCUGGCGACAUUGUACAUUGUGCCCACAGUCAGCUCCCAUUGCUGUUUGUAGAUCCUAGGGAUUAGACGUCGGUAACACUGAAGGUCUCUGAAGUUCUGUAAAAAUCAGUAAUAUACUAAUUAAAAUAAGAAGUAAAGGCUGGAUGUGGCGGUUCAAUGUAGUGCUGCAAUCUCACCACGCAGGAAGCCAAGGUGGAAUGAGCAGGAAUUGGAGCCAGUCUGGAUUGCAUAGCAAGAGUCAGUUUCAAAGCAAAACAAAACAAUGAAGUGAGAUCUUAUUUACACAGGUUAAAGCCAAACAGCAAAUUUGUAUCAAAAUUAAAACAGCUUGAGAACCGCUGUGGGGUUCCAAAGACAAGUUGCCACCCAGCAGUGUCCUAACCUUCCCUGUGCCAAAGGAGACAGUGAUUCAGUGCUGUCCUUCCAGACCCGCACAGAUAACACAGAGAUGCAGUCCUCAGCGGAGGGCUUGGGCACGGAAGCAGGUCUGCAAAUCAUCUAUGGCAAGGAACACUCAAGUUGACUGGAGUCCGUGGUCUCCUGCUCUCUUUUCUGUUUGGUUUGGUAAUGUGCUUGAGAGUUGCUGAUGGCCUUUGAGACUGGGGCUUGAUCAAUCGAUACAACCUUGGCUGGCUUGGAAUUUGCUAUAGACCAGGCUGCCCUCAAACUCGUAGAGAUCUGCCUGCCUCUGCCUCCUGAUUAUCGGGAUUAAAGGUGUGCACUACUGUGCCGGCUUUACUUGUGUUUUAUCUAAAAACUGAUAGAAUAUGUGAAGUGGAAAUGUAAGGGUCCUUUGGAAAGUAGGCUGGAUCGUGUUUUGCUGGGCAAACACAUGAAGGAACAUUUUGUUGAAGUGGACACAGGUGUGAGAGGCUAAGGUAGACUCGUGAAGGAACGUUUCACUGAAGCAGACACAGGAGAGAGGAUGUUCUGCUAAAGCAAGCAUGUGAAAGGACACGUGAUGAAGGAUUCUUUGCUAAUGACAGGCAUGUAUUGGUUCACCUUACACUGUGUAGUUGAGCUGCAUUUGUGGGGAUGCCAUAAAGAGAAACAUACCUAAUAAACUUCUGGUGGUGUGUUGCA
rnacentral:lncRNA from 1 species